GAUGAGAGGAUUAGAAGCAGAUGGAGGUAAACUCUCCCAACAGCCAACCAUCUCUCCUUACCCCAGCCCAUCCCGUCAACCAGAUGCUCUCCCCAGAUAAAGUCCUUCUCUUCUAGACCUGGUCCAGAGGGAGGAAAAGAGCCUGGAGUCCAAAUCCUUUGGUUGUCAUAGUGACUUCCUUGAAGCCAGGGAGCAAAUAUUGUCGGUUCCGGAGUCAAACCUUUUUCUCAGCACUGGGCCUCUGGAGAGAGGGAAAGAUGAAGAAAGAUCUGGGUCAGUUCCCUGUGGACAUCCUCUCCAGCCCUAAACUCAAGAGUUCUCUAUCUGCCCAAGUUCCCAAGGGAAAGCUCAUCAUUGGAGACUUGUGAGUUAUAGUUUUAGGAGUACAGGACCACAAGAGUACCUUAGAACCUGGGAACAGGAGAAGUCUUCUGAGGACUCUAUGAAGGCAACUAUGAGUGCAAGUUCAAAUUAGG